rnacentral:rRNA from 1 species
GACGUAGGAUGCAAGCGUUGUCCGGAUUCAUUGGGCGUAAAGAGUUCGUAGGCGGUUUGUUAAGUCUGAUGUUAAAGAUCGGGGCCCAACCCUGGGAGUGCAUUGGAUACUGGCAGACUGGAGUGCAGUAGAGGCAAGUGGAAUUCCCAGUGUAGCGGUGAAAUGCGUAGAUAUUGGGAAGAACACCGGUGGCGCAGGCGACUUGCUGGGCUGUAACUGACGCUGAGGAACGAAAGCGUGGGGAGCAAACAGG